GCCACUACUGUUUUCAAAACUGCCUGAUAUCUAGACAUCUUGUGUGAGCACUGUCCCGACGAGCGAGAAAUGACAAUGAGCCUCAGUCAAUGAAAUAGAGAGCGCAAGAGCAGGGCAAGUUUAACCCACUGAUCUAUAUAUAUAACUGGAUAGCUCAUGACGUCACAACAGUGAAGCUACUGCGCCGCCAUCUUGGUAUUCCCUAACAUUCUGUACUCCUAUGUGUCUCAAUGGGAAAUCGUCUGUUUUGCAGCAUUACGUUCAGCGGUGCACGUGCGCACGUGUUUCAAUAGAAACAAGUUUAAGAAACUGAGU